rnacentral:rRNA from 1 species
GACGAACGCUGGCGGCGUGCCUAAUACAUGCAAGUCGAACGCAGUGGGGACAAGUGGGUAACACGUGGGUAACCUCCCCAUCAGAGGGGAUAACACUUGGAAACAGAUGCUAUACCUAUAAUUAUGGGUGGACCCGCGGUGCAUUAGCUAGUUGGUGAGGUAACGGCUCACCAAGGCCACGAUGCAUAGCGGACCUGAGAGGGGGAUCGGCCACACUGGGACUGAGACACGGCCCAGACUCCUACGGGAGGAAGCAGUAGGGAAUCUUAGGCAAUGGACGAAAGUCUGACCGAGAAACGCCGCGUGAGUGAAGAGGGUUUUCGGAUCGUAAAACUCUGUUGUUAGAGAAGCGGUAGCUAACCAGAAAGCCACGGCUAACUACGUGCCAGCAGCCGCGGUAAUAC